rnacentral:rRNA from 1 species
GACUUAACUUAGCUAUAAGUUAAUAUCUCCAGUGGUGUCACAGAAUCGGAGGCCCCGACUGUUUACUUAAAACACAAGAAUCUGCAAUGAUUAAUAUCAUAGUAUAGGUUCUGAAAUUUGCCCAAUGCCAUUAAUAUAAGUGCGGUAAUGAAAGUUACUAAUCGAAUGUCUGGUUAAUA